GGAGCUGCUUGGCGCGCACGAAGGGUCUUUUCUUAAUAAAAAAGCAUCCCUCCAUGUCUAUUCAAAGCUAUAAAAUAAUGUCACUUGAUCCCCCUCGAAGAGCCAUGUCGACAAUUCCACAUAUCUCCAAAUGGGCAAAAGGAAAGCAAAAGGUGCGAUGGAUACAUAUAUUAUAUGUCGGUACGUAGUGCCUGACAUAUGUGCCUGGAUAAGCAUGUGGAAGUUACUAGGAAGUUGUCGGCCAGCCUAGCUAGCUAGCUAGAUACAUUUGCACUGGAUCAUCCCUUCUUCGGGGAAGGAUUUAUCUGAGACAUUCGAUAUAUAAUGCUAAACGUUUUCAUGGCUAUUGGGCCUAGCUCUAUGAUCAACAGCACUUGGAUCUAUCUAUAAUUCCUUUCCAAAGUGGCAUGACUUUAUUUCAACAUCUUUAAUUAUUCGUGCACUUUACUCUGCCGCGACAUUCUACUGGCUAAACUAGCCGAGACUUGUAUAUUUUACAGACAUCAUUGAUCCACUUUUGCAUGUUCCUGUCCAAUUUCUUUACACUCAUGAUGCUGCUGUCUUUGAUCACAUUACAUCCCAGUUGAUGGAACUACACUGUUCAUGAUGUAUUCAUCACUACGCCGUUUCUUUUCCUCUUGCCAAAUUAAAAGGCGUGAAUGCUGCUUGAAAACAUCACAAUCAAGAGAGGUAGCUAGCAGCUAGUUGUUCUUAGGCGAAAGGAUGGGAGAGGUCCAAGUGAAACGAACAUGGUGUCACUGUUCUAAGCACCUCCUUCUUCGAAGGUUCUUCAUGAUCUUAUGCAAGCAGCCAAUCUUGACUCGACUUGUCGAUUUGUCUUCCGAGGGAUCCAGGAUGUGCUUUGGGCAUUAAAGUAGUGUUCCGGAAACUUGUGAGCUCUAUGACAUCAGUGCUUCUCUCAGAAUUUGAGGUCACGCGUGGCUGUAGUUUUUUUUAUUUAUAACUAGCGGAAAGAUAAUCAAAAAAUUGUUAAGUA